rnacentral:siRNA from 1 species
UGGGUCUGGGCCUAACUUGCUG